UACGAAGGGGCUAGCGUUGCUCGGAAUCACUGGGCGUAAAGGGUGCGUAGGCGGGUCUUUAAGUCAGGGGUGAAAUCCUGGAGCUCAACUCCAGAACUGCCUUUGAUACUGAAGAUCUUGAGUUCGGGAGAGGUGAGUGGAACUGCGAGUGUAGAGGUGAAAUUCGUAGAUAUUCGCAAGAACACCAGUGGCGAAGGCGGCUCACUGGCCCGAUACUGACGCUGAGGCACGAAGCGUGGGAGCAAACAGGG
rnacentral:rRNA from 1 species